AGAACUAAUAAUCUGAAAGGUGGAAUGAUGGGGUAACGCCCUGAAACGCCUUCCCUAAUACUCCGGCUGGCGCAUGGAUAUAUUCCAAUGUGUCAGAAGCCCGGUGAAGUCGGCUGAGAGCAACCGUAAAUGUAAAUGGAAAUCCAUUUGUAUACGAAACCUGUCCAGAGGUGGACGGUGCUGCCUAUAGGCCGGGGGUCUACAAA
rnacentral:ncRNA from 1 species